rnacentral:rRNA from 1 species
GACGUAGGGGGCAAGCGUUGUCCGGAAUCAUUGGGCGUAAAGAGCGUGUAGGCGGCCCGAUAAGUCCGCCGUGAAAGUCCAGGGCUCAACCCUGGAAUGCCGGUGGAAACUGUCGGGCUGGAGUCCGGAAGAGGCGAGUGGAAUUCCUGGUGUAGCGGUGAAAUGCGCAGAUAUCAGGAGGAACACCGGUGGCGAAGGCGGGUCUCUGGGCCGAUACUGACGCUGAGGAGCGAAAGCGUGGGGAGCGAACAGG